rnacentral:rRNA from 1 species
GACGAACGCUGGCGGCGUGCUUAACACAUGCAAGUCGAACGGAAAGGCCCUGCUUUUGUGGGGUGAUCGAGGGGCGAACGGGUGAGUAACACGUGAGUAACCUGCCCUUGACAUUGGGAUAACUUCAGGAAACUGGGGCUAAUACCGGAUAGGAGAUCAUGCAGCAGGGUGGGGGUUGGAAAGUUUCGGCGGGUGGGGAUGGACUAGCGGCUGAUGAGCUUGUUGGUGGGGGAGGGGCUUACCAAGGCUUUGACGGAUCGGCGGCCUGGGAGGGUGACCGGGCACAAUGGGACUGAGAUACGGAGCAGACGGGUACGGUAGGCAACGGGGGGAAGUAUUGCACAAUGGGCCGGAGCGUGAUGCAACGACGCCCGGUGCGUGAUGACGGCUUUUGGGGUGUAAACCGCUUUAGCCUGUGACGAAGCGGGAGUGACGGUAACGAGUAAAGAAGCACCGGCUAACUACGUG